AGGUCAAAUAUUUUUAAUUCUUUCUCCUGGCCCUAAGAUAUGUUUCCAAAUCUGAUUAUCAUUUUAUGGUUCUUUUAAUGGACACAGCCUAGCUGAUAGUAUGAUGGACAGAACAUUCACUGAAUUUGGAGACCACAGUUGAAAUCUGGGUUCUGAUGCUUGCUUCCUGUGUGACCUUUGAAACUGACACUUAAAGAGACCGAGUAACUUGCUCAACAUCACAGGGAUUCGAACCCAAGUCCUUUGACUCUGAAGCCAGUGGAGGAAA
rnacentral:lncRNA from 1 species